UCUGUGCUUUCCAAUGGUCUUAGGUGACCCCU
rnacentral:piRNA from 1 species